rnacentral:rRNA from 1 species
AUUGAACGCUGGCGGCAGGCCUAACACAUGCAAGUCGAACGGUAGCACAGAGGAGCUUGCUCCUUGGGUGACGAGUGGCGGACGGGUGAGUAAUGUCUGGGAAACUGCCCGAUGGAGGGGGAUAACUACUGGAAACGGUAGCUAAUACCGCAUAACGUCGCAAGACCAAAGAGGGGGACCUUCGGGCCUCUUGCCAUCGGAUGUGCCCAGAUGGGAUUAGCUAGUAGGUGGGGUAACGGCUCACCUAGGCGACGAUCCCUAGCUGGUCUGAGAGGAUGACCAGCCACACUGGAACUGAGACACGGUCCAGACUCCUACGGGAGGCAGCAGUGGGAAUAUUGCACAAUGGGCGCAAGCCUGAUGCAGCCAUGCCGCGUGUAUGAAGAAGGCCUUCGGGUGUAAAGUACUUUCAGCGAGGAGGAAGGCGUUGUGGUUAAUAACCGCAACGAUUGACGUUACUCGCAGAAG